rnacentral:rRNA from 1 species
UACGUAGGUGGCAAGCGUUGUCCGGAAUUAUUGGGCGUAAAGCGCGCGCAGGCGGUCCUUUAAGUCUGAUGUGAAAGCCCACGGCUCAACCGUGGAGGGUCAUUGGAAACUGGGGGACUUGAGUACAGAAGAGAAGAGUGGAAUUCCACGUGUAGCGGUGAAAUGCGUAGAGAUGUGGAGGAACACCAGUGGCGAAGGCGACUCUUUGGUCUGUAACUGACGCUGAGACGCGAAAGCGUGGGGAGCGAACCGG